rnacentral:rRNA from 1 species
GAUGAACGCUGGCGGCGUGCCUAACACAUGCAAGUCGAGCGAACAGACGAGGAGCUUGCUCCUCUGACGUUAGCGGCGGACGGGUGAGUAACACGUGGAUAACCUACCUUUAAGACUGGGAUAACUUCGGGAAACCGGAGCUAAUACCGGAGAAUAUAUUGAACCGCAUGGUUCAAUAGUGAAAGACGGCUUUGCUUUCACUUAUAGAUGGAUCCGCGCCGCAUUAGCUAGUUGGUAAGGUAACGGCUUACCAAGGCAACGAUGCGUAGCCGACCUGAGAGGAUGAUCAGCCACACUGGAACUGAGACACGGUCCAGACUCCUACGGGAGGCAGCAGUGGGGAAUCUUCCGCAAAGGGCGAAAGCUUGACGGAGCAACGCCGCGUGAGUGAUGAAGGUCUUCGGAUCGUAAAACUCUGUUAUUAGGGAAGAACAGAUGUGUAAGUAACUAUGCGCGUCUUGACGGUACCUAAUCAGAAAGCCACGGCUAACUACGUG